rnacentral:rRNA from 1 species
UGGCGGCGAGCGGCGAACGGGUGAGUAAUACAUCGGAACGUGUCCAGUAGUGGGGGAUAACCUGUCGAAAGAUAGGCUAAUACCGCAUACGAUCUACGGAUGAAAGCGGGGGACUCUUGGGCAACUGAGGGCCUCGCGCUGUUGGAGCGGCCGACGUCGGAUUAGCUAGUUGGCGGGGUAAAAGCCCACCAAGGCGACGAUCCGUAGCUGGUCUGAGAGGACGAUCAGCCACACUGGAACUGAGACACGGUCCAGACUCCUACGGGAGGCAGCAGUGGGGAAUUUUGGACAAUGGGCGCAAGCCUGAUCCAGCCAUGCCGCGUGAGUGAAGAAGGCCUUCGGGUUGUAAAGCUCUUUCGGUGAAGACGAAACGGUUCGUGCCAAUAACGCGAACUAAUGACGGUACUCACAGAAGAAGCACCGGCUAACUACGUGCCAGCAGCCGCGGUAAUACGUAGGGUGCAGGCGUUAAUCGGAAUUACUGGGCGUAAAGCGUGCGCAGGCGGCUCCUUAAGUCAGAUGUGAAAUCCCCGGGCUUAACCUGGGAACUGCGUUUGAAACUGAGGGGCUAGAGUGUGGAAGAGGGGGGUGGAAUUCCAGGUGUAGCAGUGAAAUGCGUAGAGAUCUGGAGGAACACCGAUGGCGAAGGCAGCCCCCUGGGCUAACACUGACGCUCAUGCACGAAAGCGUGGGGAGCAAACAGGAUUAGAUACCCUGGUAGUCCACGCCCUAAAUCAUGUCAACUGGUGUCGGGAAGCAAUU